rnacentral:rRNA from 1 species
UGGGGAAUAUUGCACAAUGGGCGAAAGCCUGAUGCAGCAAUGCCGCGUGUGUGAAGAAGGCUCUAGGGUUGUAAAGCACUUUCAAUAAGGAAGAAAAGUAUAAAGUUAAUAACUUUAUGCAUUGACUUAACUUAUACAAGAAGCACCGGCUAAUUCCGUGCCAGCAGCCGCGGUAAUACGGAAGGUGCAAGCGUUAAUCGGAAUUACUGGGCGUAAAGCGCGCGUAGGCUGUUAUCUAAGUCGAAUGUGAAAUCCUCGGGCUCAACCUGGGAACUGCAUCCGAAACUGGAUAACUAGAGUAUGGGGAGAGGUAAGUAGAAUUUCCGGUGUAGCCGGUGAAAUGCGUAGAUAUCGGAAGGAAUACCAGUGGCGAAGGCGGCUUACUGGACCAAUACUGACGCUAAGGUGCGAAAGCGUGGGGAGCGAACAGGAUUAGAUACCCUGGUAGUCCACGCCGUAAACGAUGAGAACUAGAUGUUGGGAGGGUUAGCCUCUCAGUGUCGCAGCUAACGCAUUAAGUUCUCCGCCUGGGGAGUACGACCGCAAGGUUG